rnacentral:lncRNA from 1 species
CCGCCAUCAACUAAUCCUUCCGGAGUCGGAUGCUUAAUGGAUCGGUUGAAGUAACCAAACCCAUUACUUGGUAACCCGGUAAGUACACUCCCUUCGAUCUUAUCGCUGCCGCCCUCCUUGUCUCUGCUUCUCUUCCUCCUUUCCCUCUCUGCUCCAUCUACCUCCUAUCCCUCCUAUUCCUCGGUCGUAACAAUCCCCUCCCCUUAGCACAUCCUUGUCCUCAAGGAUCGAACGCCGGAAACUGCGAGAUUAGGAAACGGUAGUCCUCCCAGGUCGCCGACUCUUCAGGCAAGUUGGUCCAUUUGACCAAGACUUUGGUAGCCGCCCGAUCUCCUGCACGGACCAUCUUCCGCUCCAGUAUCCUUUCUGGUUCUGCAAGUAACUGCCCUUCCUCCCCCACCAACGGUAUUGUAGGGGUCACUUGUGCUUUUUCCUUGGGACUUCUUUUGAGUAGUGAUACAUGGAAAACUGGGUGGAUUUUUGAUCCCUCAGGUAACCUUAGCCUAUAAGCGACUGCCCCGAUCUUCUCGGUUAUCUCGUAAGGCCCAAAGUAGCGUGAACAAAGCUUAAGGUUUUUUCGAACUGCCACCGAGAGCUGUCGAUAGGGUUGCAAUUUCAAGUAUACCCAAUCUCCAACUUUGAACUCUCGAUCUGUUCGCCUCCUGUCAGCAAACUGUUUCAUACGAUUCUGAGCCUUUUGCAAAUUGUCCCUGAGCUCCCGUGUUAGCUUCUCCCUCUCCUUUCCCCAAUCCUGUACCACCCCCACUGUACUCUUAUCAAGGUUACCAAUCAUAUAGUUAGGGGGCGAUUGCCCGUAAAGAGCCUGGUAAGGAGAAGUCUCCAAGGAUGUAUGAUAAUUGGUGUUGUACCACCAUUCAGCAUGGAUCAACCAGUGAAACCACUUCCUGGGGUGUUGGAAACACAAACAGCGAAGAUAGGUUUCUAGACAUCGAUUUAAUCGUUCCGUCUGUCCAUCUGACUGUGGAUGAUAUGCGGAUCCCAUGUGUAGUUUAGUCCCAAGCAACCCGAAUAGUUCUUGCCAAAGCUGACUAGUAAAAAUUCGAUCUCUGUCCGAAACUAUGACCUCCGGCAGCCCAUGCAAGCGAUAUAUAGUAUCAAAGAAAGCCUUGGCCACCUCUAUGGCGGUGAACGGAUGGGUCAAUGCGAUGAAAUGUCCAUACUUGGACAGUCUAUCUAUCACUACCAGAAUAGAGUCUUUACCUUCAGAUUUGGGCAGCCCUUUGAUGAAGUCCAUGCUGAUUGCGCUCCACAUCCGAGUAGGAAUGGGUAGUGGUUGAAGUAAACCCGCAUACAUCGAAUUGUCUGACUUAUUCCUGAGGCAGAUUUCACAUUUCUCGACAUACUUCUUCACAUCCUCCUUCAGUUUUGGCCAGUAGAACACUUGUUUCACUCGCUUAUACAUGUGUUGCCUACCGGAGUGCCCUCCUAACGGAGAGUCAUGCAUCUCUCGUAGUAUUCUUUCUUUCAAUUUCCCAUCUUGUCCUAUAUAUAUCCUCCCUUUGUACCUGAUCAGCCCUUGUUUAAGCGUAUAGUGACCUUGGUCCGCAGGAGUCUGGAGUGUGCACUUAGCCAGCAGUUGCUUACAAUGAUUAUCUGUUUCGUAACUCUUACUUACUUCAGUAACCCAUUCCGGAACGGCUCCCGUCACUGCUUGGACCACCCCUUCCUCCACCCCUUGUCUCGAUAAGGCAUCAGCUGCGCAAUUUUCCUUUCCUUUUCGAUAUUGAAUCACGUAAUCUAAGCCCAUGAGUUUGAGUAGACCUUUUUGUUGAAUGGCGGUGUUAAUUUUCUGCUCCAAUAGAAACUUCAAGCUCUCGUGGUCCGUCUUUAUUAUAAAGGGCUUUAAGCUUAGAUAAUGCCGCCACUUUGUCACAGCGACAAGAAUAGCCAAGAACUCUUUUUCGUAGGUCGAUAACCCUAGAUUCUUCUUACUAAUUGCUUGACUCAGAUAGGCUAUGGGCCUCCCUCCUUGACUCAGCACGGCUCCAAUUCCUUGGCCACUGGCGUCUGCUUCUAUCUCAAAAUGCUUCGAAUAGUCAGGCAUGGCCAGCACAGGAGCUUCCGUCAUCGCUUUUUUUAACCUCUGAAAUGCCGAAGUCGCGUCUUCACUUCAUUUAAAACUGUCUUUCUUCAAGAGCUCUGUUAGGGGUCGGCUUAUUAUCCCAUAACCUUUGACAAACUUCCGGUAAUACCCGGUAAGCCCCAAGAACCCUCUCAACUCUUUUACAGAUCUGGGUAAAGGCCACUGGAUCAUGGCUUCUACUUUACUCGGGUCUGUCGACACCCCGUCCUCAGUGAUUACAAAGCCCAAGUAAUCUACUUGUUUCUGCCCAAAGAAACACCUCACCCUUUUGGCAAACAAGCUGUGAUCUCGUAAUAUUCCCAGCACCUCUUUCAAAUGUUCCACAUGCUCCUGCAGGGUCUUACUAUAUAUGAGUAUAUCAUCAAAAAAUACUAAUACGAACUUUCUCAAGAAGCGAUCAAAAAUCUCAUUCAUGAUAGCUUGGAACGUGGCCGGCGCGUUAGUAAGUCCGAAGGGCAUGACCCGAAACUCGUAGUGGCCGAUGUGGGUUCUAAAAGCCGUCUUCGGAAUGUCGCUAGGAUGCAUGCGGAUUUGGUGAUAUCCCGAACGCAGGUCAAUUUUUGAGAAAUAUUUUGCUCCCCCCAACUCAUCGAGUAAAUCCUCAAUAAUGGGAAUCGGAUAUUUAUCCUUCACUGUGAGCUUGUUUAACUGUCUAUAGUCGACGCAAAAGCGCCAUGUUCCAUCCUUUUUCUUAACCAAGAGCACCGGAGAUGCAUAGGGGCUAUGGCUGGGCUGAAUGAUCCCUGUUUGUAACAUUUCCUUUAUCUGUCUUUCCAUUUCAUUCUUCUGCUCAAAGGUAUACCUAUAGGGUCUAAUGUUAACUGGCGAAGACCCGGUCAGUAAAGGUAUCCUAUGAUCCUGGCUCCUAGUAGGAGGUAGACCCUGUGGUUCCUGGAAAACAUCCCCAUAUUCCCGCAACACCUCCUGAAUGGAUUCGGGUAUGUUCUCUUCUUUUCCGCUAUCUGGCGGAAUCCACUGUGCUAUUGCACAGCAACUGCCCAACUGAGGUUCCUGCAGCAGCUGUUUCGCGGUAAUACUUCGCAAUUGGGCCUUUUCAGUCAUUCCCUUGAGGUGGAUCUUCUUCUCCCCUUUAGUAAUAAUGACAGUAUUAAUCUCAUAAUCGAAGGUGAUUGGCCCGUGAGCUUUUAACCAGUCGAUCCCGAGGAUCAUACUUGACCCUUCAAGCCUUAUCACUCGUAAGUCGGCCGAGUACUUUUCUCCUUGCAUUUCCCAAACGUAGUUGGUACACUUAAGCUUACUUAGUACCUUUUGGCCAUUGGCUACUGUUACCAAUAGUGGGUUAGUAGUGGUUAUGCUGGCCUUGGUCUCUUUCGCGAUUCCGAUAUCAAUAAAACUGUGUGUGCUCCCGGUGUCCACCAGAAUGGAUAAAGUUUUUCCUUUACUUUCUCCCUGUAUCUUUAUUGUAUCUUGACUGUCCUCGGCACUUAGGGCAUGAAUGGACAAUCCCAAUUCCUCGGCUUCUUCUAAUUCAACUUUGUUUUCUCCUUCUACCUCUUGCAAGCUAAUCUCAUCAUAGACUUCAGUCACCUCAGGAACGGCUUGCAGGGCAUUCACAACUUGCUGUUUACAAAUAUGGCCCGGGCUGUACUUAUCUCCACAUUUGAAACACAGUCCCGCCGCUCUUCUCUGUUCGAUUAAUUGCCGGUUGGGAAAAACCUUUUCUGCUGCAAACUUGGGUUGGUUCCUGGUGGUAUCGGAAUAUCUUCCCGACGUUGCCGAACCUAUACCCUUGUAAUUGCUUGAAGGAUUGGUGAUACCUGCCAGUUUGAACAUUUGCUUGUUCCUUUUCAUCAUAGCAGCAAUGGUUUGUUCCUGCAAUUUAGCUUGUUCAAAAGCUUGCGCUAAUGUGCGGGGAUAGAGCAUCUUGACGGCCGACUUAAUCUCCUCCUUUAGCCCACUUAAGAAGCUGGAUAAGAAAUAACUUCCGGAGAAUUGUGAAUCAGUGGUAAGGAUCCGCGCUCUUAAUUCCUCAAACUACUCUUGGUACUCUUCUACUGUCCCUGUUUGUACCAAUUUGUUAAAUUCCUCCACAGCAUCCACUAACCCCUUAGUAUCAAAUCGUUUACAAACCUCUUCAGAGAAAUCUACCCAACUGACCAUUCCUUUCUCUGCCAGGUAUCCUUGAAACCAAGUAUCAGCCUUAUCAUCCAAAUGCAUUGCGAUUAAUUCCAUCUUCUGGUGCUCCUUAAUACCAUAGAAUUCAAAGUACCUCUCACAUUUUCUCACCCAACUCCUUGGGUUGUCAUUCAUGAACAUAGGAAAAGCUAAUUUGGGAUAUGGAAAUUGAGAACCGGAUCGAUUUAUAGUAGAUUGUAUAUGAUGAUCUUCCCUUGUAUGAGAAUGAGAUGGGUUUGGUAAUAUACCUCGUUCCUCUGGAUUGGUUGAAGAAGUAACUCCCUUGGUUGAUGAUGCUUGUGGUAUGUUCUUCAGCAGAUCCAUAAUCUGUUCCAGCUUCUUGGAGGUGUUCGCAGAAUCUCUCUUCCAAUCGUCAUAAUGGGACUGUCCCUCGGUACGUAUCGCCUCCAUCCGACUUGCCAGUGAUUCAAACUUCCUCUCAUUACCCACUGCUAACUGUUGUAGUUGCUUCUCUAGCACGUGAACAUGUUCAUCGAGCAGCUUCAAACGUGUUCCCUCGGCCAUCGCCUUGCUCACGAAUUUGAAUCGGUUACCUCUCGCCGACCCAAUUGUCGCUCAAUCGUCAGCUGGAUCCACCUGCAAGAGUGUUGCAGGCACCAGGUGGGAACUCGAACAGAUGGUGGGCGUGUGAUUUCCCAACCAAUUCUGUGAGUUCAAGAACCGGGGUCGGCUCUUACAGCGGCUCCCUUUGUCCAGGUUCACCCAAAGGCGAUCCUAGCAACUCGGGAAGCUGUGUCGACGUUGGAUUCAACAGUUUUUGCAAAACCGGAGCCCUUGCGACUGCGCUGUACCGAUCCCUGGGAUCUCAACAGCUCUGAUACCAACUUGUUAUGAUUCCGACCACCGCGCAACCCAAUUAUGGAUUGAUGGAUGGCGCAAUGGGAUGAAGAAUCGGCUUACCUGAUCCGAUGCCUCGAUCUGAUGAGGAUGAAACCGAGGAUCGUGGAUUGGAGAUGAUGAUAAACAGUAUUCAAUCGAAUACUGAUCGGGUAUCAGUUGUGCGAGAUCGAUAGCUUCGAUUGAGAAUGGAUCUGUGCUUGAGAUGAGAUAGAAUUGGAGUGAGGAAGAAGAAGGAGAGAUAGAGAAGAGGAAGACGAGCUAGAGAGAAAGAGAGAGAGAGAGAGAGAGUUGGGGAGAAUGGGGGAUUUUUAUUCAAACUUCUCAUAGUUUGUUACAGGUAGUUGCUACUAUUUAUACCCCUCAAUAUGGGGACCAAAAUGUAAAAAGAGUACAGUAACAAGGACUGCAGCUUAAUUGUGUUUAUACUUAGUGGUUCCGAUGGGCCUGAUCUAAUUGAGAUUGGAUUGGGCCCCUCCCAGGCUUACCGCCAUCAACUAAUCCUUCCGGAGUCGGAUGCUUAAUGGAUCGGUUGAAGUAACCAAACCCAUUACUUGGUAACCCGGUAAGUACACUCCCUUCGAUCUUAUCGCUGCCGCCCUCCUUGUCUCUGCUUCUCUUCCUCCUUUCCCUCUCUGCUCCAUCUACCUCCUAUCCCUCCUAUUCCUCGGUCGUAACAGCGGUAGGCGAGCCGUACGGUAGACGGAAAGAAUGGAGAAGCUUCGCCGGCGACGCGUCGACGAUAUAUAGCAUGGCGACACGGAUGCACAUUAAUAAGUGCAAGGCGUUGUGGUGGAGUGGGCUAAUUAAUGAAACCGCUGAGGCAACAGAGAAGCCCUUAGCCAAAUUAACGCGUGUGUGCCACAUCAUGCACAAAAUUGGAUUUCAUUAGAGUUGUGCCAAACAUGAAAACUCUCGAGUUUUCAACACAAAAACAAUUGGGAUUUAAUUAGAUUUGUGCCACCUCAUGCUAAAAAAAUAUUAAAAUAUAGCAGUUAAAUAUGAGAAUAAAAAUAUGAGGUAAUUAUUGCAGUAAAAUAUGAGAAUAAAAAUAUAAGAAGUUAAAUAAUAAGCUAUAUUUAUCUAUAUCUAUAUCUAUACUACUUAUAAAAGCAUGAGUUUUAAAUUUUUUCUCUUUCCAAAAAUGUCUUUAUCUUUUUUACUAAUAUUGUCAUGCCCAGUAAUUUUCAACCAUCCAUUUUAAAUAAAUCUUUAAAUAAUAAUUUAUUCUCAAAUAUAGAUCUUAAGCUUUCGCCAUUGGAUCUCAUCCAACGAAUAAAAAUAAAAGUAUCUGUUAUUUUUGUUGACAAAAAUACCCUACAUAUCCGUUAUCUCCCAUCUACGCCGUGUUUCUCAAAAAAAAAUUUUCUACCUACCAAUCAUGUAAUACGUAAAACUAAACUUAUCUCUUAUCUAACCUAACGUAAUACCCGCCAAUCACCUAAUACCUCUGCUAAUCACUAAAAAUAAUUAAUACCCGCCCAAUCAAAACUAAAUCGUUAAUUAAAUAUAAUUUUAAAUAUUUUUAGCAAAAUAUUCAAUAUUUAAAUAAUACCCACCAAAAUAUUCUCUGCAUUCUCAAAUAUAAAAUAUAUUUUAUCCAUUUUAAAUAAAUCUUCAAAUAAUAAUUUAUUCUCAAAUAUAGAUCUUAAGUUUUCGCCAUUGAAUCUUAUCCAAUGAAUAAAAAUAAAAGUAUCUGUCAUUUUUGUUGACAAAAAUAUUAUUCAUAUCCGUUACUCAAAUAUUUUUUUUCUAUCCAUAAUACGUAAAACGAAAUUUAUUUUUUAUCUAACGUAAUACCCGUCAAUCACGUAAUACCUCCGCUAAAUUUAUUUCAGUGUUUUCUCAAAUAAUUUUUUUCUCAAAUAUUUUUUUUCUCAAACAUAAUAUCUACCAAAAUUAAAUUUUAAAUUUGUAAUGCCCGCCAAAAUUUAAUACCCGUAAAUUUGAUAAUUUGAAUUUUAAUUCAUGAUAGUAGAUAGUAGAUUUUUCCUU